AUUGCACUCAUGUGGCAAUUGUUUCCCCCGAGGAAAAUGAGGAGAGAUAUUACUGCAGGAAACAGUAUCACUCACUAAAUGUCCAGUUGAUUAGUAAUGCAGAUAUGCAAAUCAUGAGUGUGGAUGCUAGUUUUGGUGGAGCUACUCAUGAUUCUUUUAUAUGGGCAAACCAUCCCAUAAAGGAUCACAUGGAGGUUAUUAGCAGAAAUGAAGCUAUAUGGUUACUUGGUGAUUCUGGGUACCCACUGAGAAGGUACUUGAUGACACCAAUUACUGAUACUAGUCCGGACACUCCAGAAGCUCAUUACACCUAUCU